GAAUCAGUAUACACUCCAAGUGCUACUUAUUUUAUAUAAAGAUGAAUUUUAAAAUACUAUUCUUUAUUUUUUCCACAUUUACUUUAUUAUUUGUUAGUGCAUUUCAAUUUGAAAAUGAUCCAGAUGAAUCAUUAAUUAGAGAAAGAAGAUAUAUCCAGUGUCAUGAUAUUCAAUGCCAAAGAAUAUGCACAUUUGCUCCCCGGAGUAAAGGUGGUAGAUGUGGACCAGGAGGACAAUGUAUUUGUAAUUAAUUGAACAUGCACUUCUUUAUAAAAUUAUAUGAAACGAUAAAUUUUACUAAAUAAAUUAUAAUCUAUUGAUUACUGAUA